CCCAGUGCUGCCUGGGGUGGCGGGGACAGGCGGAGGAACCAGGAAUGAAGAACUGGGAAAAAGGCAAAGAAAGGAGUUUAACUACAAAACCAGAGAACCCCAAUUUCCAACCCCAUGCCUUAAGCCAGCCUCCACUGGCUGGUGCUUCCAGACAUGUCCAAGCCCAGGCCACCUUUGCUAGAGUCUCAGGCUUACAUACCCUGGAGCAACAGACCAGAUUUUGGGGAACAGGUAAGAAUGGCC